rnacentral:misc_RNA from 1 species
GAUGAAGAACGUAGCGAAAUGCGAUAAGUAGUGUGAAUUGCAGAAUUCAGUGAAUCAUCGAAUCUUUGAACGCACAUUGCGCCCCUUGGUAUUCCAUGGGGCAUGCCUGUUCGAGCGUCAUUUGUACCUUCAAGCUUUGCUUGGUGUUGGGUGUUUGUCUCGCCUUUGCGUGUAGACUCGCCUUAAAAUAAUUGGCAGCCGGCGUAUUGAUUUCGGAGCGCAGUACAUCUCGCGCUUUGCACUCAUAACGACAGCGUCCAAAAGUACAUUUUACACUCUUGACCUCGGAUCAGGUAGGGAUACCCGCUGAACUUAAGCAUAUCAAUAAGCCGGAGGA